GUCGGGAUAGCUCAGUUGGUAGAGC
rnacentral:ncRNA from 18 species